rnacentral:rRNA from 1 species
ACGCUCGACACCUACGGGAGGAAGCAGUGGGGAAUAUUGCACAAUGGGGGAAACCCGUGAUGCAGCGACGCCGCGUGAGCGAAGAAGUAUUUCGGUAUGUAAAGCUCUAUCAGCAGGGAAGAAACUGACGGUACCUGACUAAGAAGCACCGGCUAAAUACGUGCCAACAGCCGCGGUAAUCUGAGCGGGCUGGCAAGGC